AGAGUUUGAUCCUGGCUCAGGACGAACGCUGGCGGCGUGCCUAAUACAUGCAAGUCGAACGGUCUUUUCUAUGGAAGCUUGCUUCCACUGAGAAGAUAGUGGCGAACGGGUGAGUAACACGUGGGUAACCUGCCCAUAAGAGGGGGAUAACAUCCGGAAACGGGUGCUAAUACCGCAUAGUUUUCUUGAUCGCAUGAUCGGGAAAGGAAAGACGGCCUUUGUGCUGUCGCUUAUGGAUGGACCCGCGGCGUAUUAGUUAGUUGGUGAGGUAACGGCUCACCAAGACGAUGAUACGUAGCCGACCUGAGAGGGUGAUCGGCCACAUUGGGACUGAGACACGGCCCAAACUCCUACGGGAGGCAGCAGUAGGGAAUCUUCCGCAAUGGACGAAAGUCUGACGGAGCAACGCCGCGUGAGUGAAGAAGGUUUUCGGAUCGUAAAACUCUGUUGUCAGAGAAGAACAAGUUGGAGAGUAACUGCUCCGGCCUUGACGGUAUCUGACCAGAAAGCCACGGCUAACUACGUGCCAGCAGCCGCGGUAAUACGUAGGUGGCAAGCGUUGUCCGGAUUUAUUGGGCGUAAAGCGAGCGCAGGCGGUUCCUUAAGUCUGAUGUGAAAGCCCACGGCUCAACCGUGGAAGGUCAUUGGAAACUGGGGAACUUGAGUGCAGAAGAGGAGAGUGGAAUUCCAUGUGUAGCGGUGAAAUGCGUAGAUAUAUGGAGGAACACCAGUGGCGAAGGCGACUCUCUGGUCUGUAACUGACGCUGAGGCUCGAAAGCGUGGGGAGCAAACAGGAUUAGAUACCCUGGUAGUCCACGCCGUAAACGAUGAGUGCUAAGUG
rnacentral:rRNA from 2 species